AAAUAACUGUGUUUUUUGUCUUCCAUAGAGUUUACAGAUGCUUCCUCAGCAACGGAAAGCCAUAGCGAAAUUUAAGGAACCAGCACAUGCAUUAGCAUUUCAACAGAAAUUCCACAGGCAUAUGAUAGAUCUAUCCCACAUUAACGUGGCUUUGAUAGUUGAGUGAGCAUAGCUGAUAACGCUAAUAGAAACAUACUGUGGAGCUACACAUGGAGAAGAUACAAAGGCAAAACCAUCAGGAUCUGAAAUCUUUUCAGUUUACAGUCUUUCUUUAACUGCUCUGUAGAACUACAGGAAGGAACAAGAUUUCCUCAAGAUAAGCUGAACCUAAGAGGAUCUAGCAAAGUGGAGUUUUGUGUUCAGUUUCUUCACAUUCAGUUGUAACCCCAUGGAACUACAGAUUUUUUUUUUUCAAAGUGCUUACAGUGCAUGUAGACAUUGUUCUUCAAAAUCAUACUGUGUGAUCACAGUGACUUGAUGAGAAAAAGAACACUUAAUUGAAAAAUUUAAAAAGUUUCUUCAUAGCAAAGAAUAUUUGAUAAUGGUUGCUCUUAUCUUCAGUGCAUGGUAUUUAUAUGAGAACUCACUUCUCUAAACAAAACGCGUGUGUUGUUCCUCUGAGGAGAUAGAAGGUGCAUUCUUAUAUAGAUUAAGACGUGGUCGUCUUGAUUAUUGAUAAUAUUCUGAAAGGCUUUGGAGGUGACACUGGAAGGCUGUAGUUUCUGUUUUUGUAAAUAUGUUAGAUCGGUUUUUGCAUCUUCUAGUCUGACACAUUCCCUCUUUACUCCUUCGCCCUCCCUUUGUGAAAUGAAAACACUUUGUAGGAGUAACAUUGCUACAUUUCCUCCCCCCCCCCCCAAUUUAAAACGAAGGAUCUUUAUCUUCACCUUUCAGUAGCAUAAUGGGGUAGUUUACUCCAAGUAGUAAUUUAUUACAGUUUAGAUUGUUUUUUAAAUGGGAUUGCAAGAUAUGGGGAAAAAGUGAAACACUUACCCUCAUUUUAAAAAUAGAGUGACACAGAGAAUGUGGUACAUUCCCAAUCGUGUUUCUUUGUGCCACUAUUGCAGAGUAUGCUUCCUCUUAAUCUUUGUCAAUUAGUAUUUUUCCUUGAAAUUUAUUUUGUGACUAAUGCUAAACCACUAAAAAAAAAAAAAAAAAAAUUAUAGCAAAGGCAUUAGAAUUGUGGCAUGGUGUUCCCCACAAAGAUGGGAUUAUGAGGAUGUUAUGCUGCGGGUGAAAUUGGCAGUUCUAAAAAUUAUGUGCAAACAUGAAAGGAGAUUGCAUUUUAUAGUUGUUAAAAUUCAUUAUACUUCCUUUAGGUUAGAACCAUCUGGAUGGUAUUUCCAAAGGAACAAGUUUUCAGUUACUUUUGGACAAAUUUAGCAAAAUGCCAUUGUUUAUAUCCGAUUGCAGGUUUUAUGAAACAUUUUUUUAGUUUUUAUUUGCUGGGGUUUUCCUUCGUUCUUUAUUUUUAGGAUAUACUUUUGAGUGCUGACCUAUUUUUUGAAGUGGGCACCUAUGGAAACUUCAUAGUCUUUGAGGAUACUCAAGUAACGGAAAGAAAAAAAACACUAACAUGGUGUAGUGAAUCUGCAGGAGCUUGUGGAUGGGGUCUAAAUAAGUGCCAGAAUAUGGAAGAAUGGCAGGUUGAAGCAAAUUAGCUGUGGUAAACCUUAGCUUGUAUGUAAGAUUUAGUGGUGACAAAGUUCUUUCUAACUGGCUGUCUCACAGCAGAGUUUUUUGUACUGAUUUCCAAUUAAGUAGAAGUUACUAAAAAUUAAUGAUUGAGCAAUAAAUAGUGUCUAAAGUUUCCUAGGUAAAACUGCUUUCUUUUUCCACUGAAAUAAUAUGAGAAUAAUGUAGUGUAUUAACAUUAUUACAAUGGGAAAAGGAAAAUGUUUAAGGAAUAGUAGUUUCUAAAGCCAUUUGCAUCUUAGCAGAUCACAGUAAGAUCAUUAGAAUAUUCAUGUAUGAAGGUGGGUUUUCUCGUAUUUGCAUAUCUCUAACUCAUAACAUUUGGCGCAGUGCAGCACAGUUGAUGUUCUUUGCUCAGGACAGAUCCAAGACUGGGAGUAGCAGAUGUGUCACAGGUAGAAAUGAGUUGGUGGGGCUGUAUCUGAAGGCUAGCAUGACACCUGACUUCCACGGUGCUCGGCCUUCACUAGUGCUCUUCCCUCCUCACAUCCACCAUUACUAAACCCCACAAAUAUUGUAUUUUUUAUUGUUAAAAAGGAAUGCUUGCAUCUCAGAUGGGCCAUUAAAGGUGGUGACGUACCCACUGUUAAGGAACAGCUUCUCUGUGAGGGGAAGAUUGGAAAAAAUCUGGAAAAUAAAUGGAUCUGAGUGUCUGCCCAUGGAAGUAUGGGUCGGAUGUGGCUAGAAAUAGCUCAGUAGGGGGAGUCCAGCAGUAGGCAGAUGAUGAUGUUGGAAUAUGAGCUUUUUUGAGACCUCUAAAGAAUAGAGGCCCUAUCCAAAACCUGAAGAAGUCAGUGGAAGGUCUCAUACUGACUUCAGUGGGUUUUGAAUCAGUCCCUAGGAGAACAACAUUUUGCAACUACAGGAUUAAGAAUUUUUAGCCAGGGUUUUUUAAACUUUUCCCCCCAUAACCAUCCUGUGGCAUUGAAAACAAAGACAUGAGCAAUGUCUCCUUAACUUACCGAAUAGAUUGGAGCGAUGUAAGCAUUGUUUAAUAAUUGUAUAUAUCCCUCUUUAUAGACCGUUACUUUAGAUUACUGCUUGUGCAUAGAUAGAGUGCAGACAUAUUUGGUAGUGACUGUAGCUGCUUAUCACAGUAGCUGGGUAUCAUAUGGGAACUGUGAGUAUGUUCUGUAUGUAUGUAUGUUUAUAUGGAUACAAUUAUACAUACAUACAUCCUGUAUAUUAUAGAUCUUUUGAACAGGAUGAUCUUCAAAAAGGUACAGUAGUAACAACCACUAUUAGGUUUAGGCAUGCAUUAAAAAGGUUUCAAUAAAACAUAUCUUCAGUAAUAAACUCCUAACUUAAAACUGGAUUUACUGGCAAUGACCAGUUUGAACGAUAGCAUCACAGUUUGGUUCCAUUUGUUGUGGCUACUCCCAGAAAAACAAAGGAAGGUAGAGGUAACAUUAGAAAACUGUUAUUUCCAUGUUCUCUUACAGCACUUCAUUAAAUCUGGCCAUCUUCAGUUAAUUUUCUUGGAAGAUCUGUUGCAACCAUUAUCUUGUUCUUUCUUUAUCAUGCAUUUAAAAUAAGAUGCAGAAUGCAAAAAUUGCAUUUAAUAUACAAUGUAAAUAUGGAACUUUUAAAAUUAAAAGAUGUUACGCAGAGUGCUUACAAUUCAACCACAUCUUAGCUACUUGUUAGUUUUUUUGUGUUGUCUUAUCUAAGUUUAAUGGACAUAGUUCCAUAAAUGUUGAUGUGUUUUUGUGUAUCUCUUCAAUUUUUUAUAAAGAUGCUAGUAAGUCAAUACAUAUAUCCUGAUCUGUGUAUUAUUUGUUCACAAGUUUCAGAGAAACUUAAAUUUAGUAACACUAUUUUAAUAGGUAAAUAUAGUAGGUGAUUAUGUGGAGCCAAAUAUAUAUAUAUUUUCUUUUUCAGUUAUCUUGUUUUGAUCUUGUGGCACUUCUAAGUUCAUUUUACUCUAUCAUAUCACAUCUUGGCUACUAGAUUGGUCUGGCCAUAUUAUGUGUGAAAUUAUAGAAGAAUGUUCUUAAUUUCUUUAAAAGGCCUUUGUCCUUAAAGGUUAAGCGGAUUAUACAUUACACUAGAUCUUCACAUUCUCAUGUCGGACCAAGGUUUUGGUUUCUGGCAGGGUUCUUUAUGUUGUAUAAGUACAAAGAAGUUGGUCUCAGAGAGCAGAGUGGCACGUUUUAUAUAAUGAAAAGAAACCGUUAAACAUAAUUGAGGAGCUUGGUAAAAUCCUAUGGAUAGGGAGAGGCGUAAGUGCAGACCUACAGAAUCUUCAUAAAUACAGGAAUCGCUACAAAAUGUUUUAUAAACUAUAAUGACAGUUUUUUUUAAUUUAGCAGGCUGAUGUGGGCCAAGAAUGACUGAUUCAUCUCCAGUGUAACUGGACAAAAGAUUAUGAUGAUGAUUAUAAGUAUUGAAGUCAAAUCUACAGAACAUAAGACAAAAAUAAAUCUUCAAACGAAUAGGUUUAAUUCCCAUUUGGGGGUUGGUUCUGAAAACUCACUUUUAAGUUUCACAGCUCUGCAUAAGGCCCUCUUAGUAAGUAAACUACUAGAUCUUCAUUGGGCAUCUUAAUUCCUUUCAUAGUUGGAUUCCAUUGCAAAGAUUUAGUCUGAAGAACUUUUACAAAAGUGUAGGUAUUCUCAGCAUGCCUCUGUAUGACUACAUUUAUUACCGUAGGUACAUUAUAGCAACUGAUUCUGACUACUUUGGGGAAUAAAUAAGAACGUUUUAUUUGGUCAUGAAUUAUUUUUUUUAAUGUUUACACCAUAUAGUAUCUUCAGUCUGGUCAGUUUUAAAAGAUUGGCCCUUUCUAAGACGAUGCUGUGGGCGCUUCCUAGAAUUAGCAGAAGUAGCUGUGGGUGUUGCCUUUAUCCAUAGUUUGACUUUUCUGGGUGUGUCCUAGAUUUGUGCUCCACCAUACUCCUGUAGAUGUUAUAUUGUCCUCCCCAUUAGUACUGCAAGAUUCUAAGUGUGUUUCCACCCCAAGGAUAUGCUUCUGGCUUCACAUACUCUUGUUAGACAGGAUUUCUAGUGUUGGUCCUCUAGGCGGAACUUUUUUCUUUGUAGCCCUUUUUGGUACUUUGAUUUUUCUAGCAGCAGUGUUGGAUGAAAAAUAAAUGUGGGGGAAAGAGGCACUAGACAGAUUAAAGAAAGUCCACUAGAUUUUGAGAGGAAUAAAUCAUUAGGGUAAUUUAAGGCUCUUAUUUCAAUGUUACCUUUAAACUGGCUUUGAUUCUGAAAUAUUACUUAGCACCGUUCUUUAAAUAUGAAUCAAUUCAACAGUUUGAAUUCUGGAAGUAUUUUUUUAAGUUAGUAUUAAAUCCUAAGGAUUUUAUGUAAGAUUUUUUGUAACCUAGUUAAUUUUAUCUUAAAAAUUGCCUACAUUUUAACUUCUUAUCCACAUGAGCGCAAGGUCUUGUGUACAAAAACACUGAUUCAUAUUGGAUCCUCACGUAUACCAUCUUCUGGUAUAAUAUGGUUGGGAAGGAUCAUUUAUUUUACUCUUUAGCACUACCUUUUGCAGGGUUUUUUUUGUUUUUUUUUUAAUCUUUGGUUUCCAUUUCUUUGCUUAUUUUGGUGGGAAGUACAUUGUCUUUUGCACUGUGUAAAACUUAAUGGGAAGGCUGUUUUCACUGGGUCUUUAAGCACUUGCACUGCUUUCUCACUUCUCAAGUUGGACACUGUGUUUUUCUAACUCUAAAUGGCAAGGGGUCAUUGUACAUAUUUAAUAAUUUCUUAACAGGUUUACAUCAAGGAUUUUUAAUUGAACAGCAUCCCAGUUAACUGAGCUGACGCUAUUUUAAAAUGUAUUACAGAUUAAAUGUAGGAUAUUUAAAAAAACAGUCCUGUGUAUAGUUACAUAAAAUAUGUUAUGGCUGAAAUAGUGUCUGUGAUUAUAUGGAAAAUCACUGUUAAAUGAAGCUUUUUACUGCUAUUUUUACCUUUUUUUAAUGCAUUUCAUAGUUCAGGCUUUUCAUUGUGCAUAGUAAUUUUUCUAGUGUCUGCCAGGUUUACUUUGCAUAAAUAGAAAUAAAACUACUUAUUUUCAAUAAUGAAACAAUUUUUUGCAGGACUACUUUGCAGGAGAUGGGAAUUUUCAGUAAUAUUAACUUUCAAAUUAAUACACAUUUUCAUUUACAGAUACAGCAAAGACAAGAUUAAUGAAUUUAUUUACAGUUGGUCAUCUGUCUUUAGUGGACCAUAUAAUUCACACUCUUAAGAAGAUACACCAUUAAAACAAGUCAUAACACUUUAUUUUAUUACCAAGUUAUCCCUAGUCACCUUGGUUCUCCUCACCCUUUCUCUGUCCCCUCUCUGUUUCCCCUCGCUCCUAGUUUACCUGCAAGAAUGUUAAUUCUUUACUGCUGUCUUUUCCUUGAUGUUCUUCUCAUUUCUGUCCAAAACUUUCUCUUUCUGUCUGUGUGACAGUUGUAGUACCCAUCUCUCAGAAUCAUUCUCUAGUCUAGUUCCCUAAUACAAUGUUUUAGUCGCCUAUAUUGAAAGUAAGUUGUACUGCUGCGUCUUUCCUACAGAUGUUAGUUGUAAGUGAUUGAACAUAAACAGCUGCCACCCAAAGGAGGGGUCAUUUUUAGAGGUUUCACACUUUAGGAUGUGUUGAACAUUCCAAAGACGUGGGAAAAUAUAACAACCAUUUUGUUUCACAGCUCUUUUCCACUUAGGGGAGUGACAGCAGUUUCCAGAUAUGCUCCAGCUUCUGUGGCAUACCAGGAGAUAUAAGACUAAUUACUAACUUUUUCCUCCCCUUUAUUUCUGCAGGAAUUGUAUUCUUGAAUUCAGUGAUAGUAAUAGUAUUUAUCAUUGCCACUUAGAAGUAAUAAGCACCUGUCCACACAAUUCUACCUCUGUUACUAUUACUGAAUGUGAUCCUUCCUAACCUAUAAACUCUUAAGUGCUGGAUAUAUUUGGGUAUAUUGAAACUAUAAUUUAAAAUGUACUGUUCUAAUCUGGAUUAUGAAGCUUGUGUUUAUUAGGAGUUCAGAAUAUAAAUUCAAGAGGCGACUGUAUCAUGAUACGGACUCCACUGUGGGUUCAUCUGCAUCAUGUUUUCUACUGCAUCAUCUACACACAUUAUUUUACUUCUCAUUUCUUAAGUGUUAUAUGCCUGAUUAUACCAAGUCCUUCCAUUUGCAUUAGAUAUCUUUCUGUGGUAUAUGUUAGGUGUGAAUGUAAAAAUGAAAACACAGAAAUAAUGUACAAGUUCCCUAUAUGUGAUUCCAUACUUCAAAUGUCAGUAUGUAUUUAAGGGUAUUUAUUGUAACUAAAUUGUGUAAAUAAAAUAUUUUUUCCUUUUCUUUGUA